AGAGUUUGAUCAUAGCUCAGGAUGAACGUUGGCUGUGUGCCUUAGGUAUGCAAGUCGAACGAUCCUUUUGAGAAUUCCUGAAACUUCGGUUGAUGGUUUUUUCUUUAGGGUAGUGGCAAACGGGUGAGUAAUACAUAGAUAACUUACCUUGAAGCCGGGAAUAGCUCGUCGAAAGACGGGGUAAUAUCCGAUGGUCUCUAUUCACUUCGUGUGUUUUAGAGUAAAGAUUUAUCGUUUCAAGAGAGGUCUAUGUCCUAUCAGCUUGUUGGUGAGGUAAUAGCUCACCAAGGCUAAGACGGGUAGCUGGUGUGAGAGCACGGUCAGCCACCGCGGAACUGAGACACGGUCCGCACUCCUACGGGAGGCAGCAAUUAGGAAUCUUGCGCAAUGGGGGCAACCCUGACGCAGCGACACAGCGUGGAGGAUGAAGGUCUUCGGAUUGUAAACUCCUUUUAUAUGGGAAGAAUAGAUGACUGUACCAUAUGAAUAAGUACCUGCUAACUACGUGCCAGAAGCAUCGGUGAUGCGUAGGGUACGAACGUUAUCCGGAUUUACUGGGCGUAUAGAGAUGCGUAGGCGGUUUGAUAAGUCUUAAGUUAAAGACCUUGGCUCAACCAAGGGAGAGCUUUCGAAACUAUCAGACUUGAGACAUAGAUGGGUGAACGGAAUUCCGAGUGGAGCGGUAAAAUGUGUUGAUAUUCGGAAGAACAUCAGUGGCGAAAGCGGUUCACUGGCUAUUGUCUGACGCUAAGGCUCGAAAGCGUGGGUAGCAAAACGGAUUAGAUACCCGUGUAGUCCACGCUGUAAACAAUGGAUGCUAGGUGUUUGGUAUGACUACUUUCUAUCUUCGGAUUCUAAGUGGAAGUACCAAGUGCCGCAGCUAACGCGUUAAGCAUCCCGCCUGGGAAGUACGGCCGCAAGGCUAAAACUCAAAUGAAUUGGCGGGGACCCGCACAAGCGGAGGAGCGCGUGGUUUAAUUCGACGGCAAUCGAAGAACCUUACCAGGGUUUGAAAUGUAUCUGCAUGCCCUAUGAAAGUAGGGAGGCCUUCGAGGGUGAUACACAGGUGCUGCAUGGCCGUCGUCAGCUCGUGUCGUGAGAUGUAGGGUUAAGUCCCGAAACGAGCGCAACCCCUAUCCCAUGUUACAAGUGUCUUGGGAAACUGCCUCGGUAAAACGGGGAGGAAGGUGGGGAUGACGUCUGGUCCGCAUA
rnacentral:rRNA from 1 species